UACGUAGGGUGCAAGCGUUAAUCGGAAUUACUGGGCGUAAAGCGUGCGCAGGCGUCUUGCAAGACAGAUGUGAAAUCCCCGGGCUUAACCUGGGAACUGCAUUUGUGACUGCAAGGCUGGAGUGCGGCAGAGGGGAUGGAAUUCCGCGUGUAGCAGUGAAAUGCGUAGAUAUGCGGAGGAACACCGAUGGCGAAGGCAAUCCCUGGGCCUGCACUGACGCUCAUGCACGAAAGCGUGGGAGCAACAGG
rnacentral:rRNA from 1 species